rnacentral:ncRNA from 2 species
ACGUAAUCACAUGACUGGCGGAGAAAAAUGUGGAAUUAACCACGUGAAGUGUGAUUACUUGAAGCCGACCGCCUGGGCCAAGAAU